rnacentral:rRNA from 1 species
CGGAAUCUGCCUAUUUGUGGGGGAUAACGUAGGGAAACUUACGCUAAUACCGCAUACGACCUACGGGUGAAAGCGGAGGACCUUCGGGCUUCGCGCGGAUAGAUGAGCCGAUGUCGGAUUAGCUAGUUGGCGGGGUAAAGGCCCACCAAGGCGACGAUCCGUAGCUGGUCUGAGAGGAUGAUCAGCCACACUGGAACUGAGACACGGUCCAGACUCCUACGGGAGGCAGCAGUGGGGAAUAUUGGACAAUGGGCGCAAGCCUGAUCCAGCCAUGCCGCGUGGGUGAAGAAGGCCUUCGGGUUGUAAAGCCCUUUUGUUGGGAAAGAAAAGCAGUCGGUUAAUACCCGAUUGUUCUGACGGUACCCAAAGAAUAAGCACCGGCUAACUUCGUGCCAGCAGCCGCGGUAAUACGAAGGGUGCAAGCGUUACUCGGAAUUACUGGGCGUAAAGCGUGCGUAGGUGGUUUGUUAAGUCUGAUGUGAAAGCCCUGGGCUCAACCUGGGAAUUGCAUUGGAUACUGGCAGGCUAGAGUGCGGUAGAGGGUAGUGGAAUUCCCGGU